UAAUCAACAGUUAAAAACGUUAAAGCAACAACUGGAACACCAGAAUAGUGUAGGAAUAAAAUAUUGGGCCAGCCAAUUAAAUUUAGCUAAACAAGUUUCAAAAACAUCAAAUUAUUUUGAAGCGCUAAGGAAAAAAGUGUGUAAUGAAUUGACGAGAUCAAAAACUAAACGGAGCAAUAUAUCAGAAAAAAAUUUUGUCAAUAGUAUCAUUAAGGAAUUUAUUCGUAUUGUUGAGAGCGAACCAUAUGUUGGUUCUUUAGACAACACCUUGUCUAAACUAACAAAGAAUAUAUCACUAUUCAAAAGGAGUUUGUCAGGCUCGUGCAUUUUGUAGAGAAAGAAACAUUUUUUUAAAAACAAAUUCUAAAUUUUCUGUUUAAAUGUAAAUAAAUCAGCAAAG
rnacentral:lncRNA from 1 species